ACCUGCGGAAGGAUCAUUGUCGAAACCUGCCCAGCAGUACGACCCGCGAACAUGUUUAACUCUCUCGGGCGCUCCUACUUGCCCUUGCUUGAGCYGAGGGGGAAACCACCCGUGGGUUUCUCCUUGGCAUAAUGAACCCCGGCGCGAAAAGCGUCAAGGAAUGAACCUACAUAUGAGGCCCCUCCUUCUGCUCGGUUAGCCGGCGCGUCGGUGUGGUGCCAUGUCAUAACAUUAAACGACUCUCGGCAACGGAUAUCUCGGCUCUCGCAUCGAUGAAGAACGUAGCGAAAUGCGAUACUUGGUGUGAAUUGCAGAAUCCCGUGAACCAUCGAGUCUUUGAACGCAAGUUGCGCCCGAGGCCUUUGGCCGAGGGCACGUCUGCCUGGGCGUCACGCAUAGCAAUACUCCAAACCCACUCUUUGUGGCUAGGGCGGAAGAUGGUUUCCCGUGCCUCACCAGGCAUGGUUGGCCUAAAUUUGGAGCCUAAGGCAAUGUGUUGUCGCGGCGAUAGGUGGUGAACAAGGCCUUGGCCGUGGAAUCAACCAGCCGCGCAUCCCUUUGUUGGUAGGAGCUCGAGGACCCUUUGUUGUUGCCUAGUUGCUACACAAACGUUGCGACCCCAGGUCAGGCGGGGCU
rnacentral:rRNA from 1 species